GAUGAACGCUGGCGGCGUGCCUAAUACAUGCAAGUCGAGCGAACAGUCGAGGAGCUUGCUCCUCUGACGUUAGCGGCGGACGGGUGAGUAACACGUGGAUAACCUACCUAUAAGACUGGGAUAACUUCGGGAAACCGGAGCUAAUACCGGAUAAUAUAUUGAACCGCAUGGUUCAAUAGUGAAAGACGGGUUUGCUGUCACUUAUAGAUGGAUCCGAGCCGCAUUAGCUAGUUGGUAAGGUAACGGCUUACCAAGGCGACGAUGCGUAGCCGACCUGAGAGAGGGAUCGGCCACACUGGAACUGAGACACGGUCCAGACUCCUACGGGAGGCAGCAGUAGGGAAUCUUCCGCAAUGGGCGAAAGCCUGACGGAGCAACGCCGCGUGAGUGAUGAAGGCCUUCGGAUCGUAAAACUCUGUUAUUAGGGAAGAACAAAUGUGUAAGUAACUAUGCACGUCUUGACGGUACCUAAUCAGAAAGCCACGGCUAACUACGUG
rnacentral:rRNA from 1 species